UUAUGUUUGUCGUAAGAUACAGAGAAUGGAGAGGUCCGUGAGGAACGCUGAGGUAUUGUUGAAGUGGUCAUGAUGUUGAAAGUGAGCAAGAAAGAUGAAGAUGGAGUUCUGAGAAUUGAAGAUGAUGGUGAAACAAUGGUUGGGAGAAGAGUGAAGUUGAAGAUGAGAAUUCUUCAAAAAUAUCUCAGAAAGAUUCAAAGGACCAUCAAAGGAUAUGGUGAUGGAAUCAAAGGCACGACUGUACAUAAUUGGAAGAGGAUGAACAUGAAGCAUGGCAUGAAGGAGUUUAGGCUUAGGAUGUACUUUUGAUGUAAAUGUAUUGAUGUAAUGACA